AAUCUUCCUGAAAGAGGUUGUGAUUGAAGGCUUUAUUUAAGGGUGUCUUCAAGAUUCUUCAAGAGGAAAUAAGCAUGCAGAGAAUGGCAAAUUCUCUUGAUGACUGAAAAUUAUCAUCCCUUUCCCAUACCAUCAUAAUUCCAAACUCCCUUGGAAAGUCCUUAAAAUAGGCAGUCUCUGGAAAAUAUGAUGUGGAAAGGAUCUACUCAAAAUGCAAGCAUAACUUUUAUAGCUAGGCAUUUACACAGCUUUCCCUUAGGAAAAAUGAAUGUUGAUUAACUCUGUUGCUUUGACUAUACUACAAAAGUCCAUAUUCAGACAUGAGUCAGGAAAGCAAGUGGUUAGGGAGUGAUGAAUACCACAGGCAAGGAGGAGUUGAAGAUAAGAUAAUCUGUGUUCACAAUUUU